AAAGUUGGAGGAGGCAGAGAAGCUUGAUGGAGGAGGACGGAGAAUUCACGAGGUGGAGGAAGCGAGGUGGAGGAAGCUGAACGAACAGACAGCGGAAGAGGAGAGAUGAAAAGGCGGAGGAGGAGGCAUGACGCUCAAGUUUGCCAGCGGUGGAGAGAUCAACAAGAACAUGGCGGCCUCUAGAUUAGUGAUGAGAGGACGAGAUCUUUGUAAAAUCAGUUUUGAGUGAUGAGGUCUGACACGGAGGCCAAGCCGUGGACGUUAAUGGCAGCGUAGAAGCUGGAGAGAGCUUCAGAGUUCAGACACAGAUGUGGGAGCUGUUCGGGACGCAAUGUCGAUGGCUGUCUCCCACCACGCAGCUGCUUUUACAGACGGACUACAGGAUGUGAACUAUUGCCACCGAGUAAUGGUUGUUGGUUUCAAACUAUUGCCAGAAAGGUUUAUUCUUUGGACUGGACACCUGAGAUGAACCAGAUUGUCAGUGCAUCUCAACAAGACACACUCAGUUAGAAGAGAAAAGUGAUGGAAAAGGGAAAGACACAACCAAAGGGCCAAUUGAUAAAGUGCUGAAAAUGCAAUCGUUUAGAUCUUGAAAAGGUUUAUGUAUAAUAUAGAUACUGAAAAUGUGGGAGAUUGGCACAUUUCUCCAUUAGCGUUACUCCACAGUGGUCCUUUGCUUGAUUUUGAUCUUCUUCCAGGCUGUUGUUCUUCAAUGGCUGCCUUGAGUUUACCGUCUCUACCAAAUGUCCUUAUCUCAGACACUUGUGGAGAAGCUUAUGGUCUCUGUCAAAGCUCCAGAGCCUUUUCAACCAGAUAUCUUUCCAUACUUCACAGGCCAGGAAUCUAAAACAGAGACGCACAUAGCUACGAAAUGUUGUCUCUGAGACCCCGCAAAUGUUUGAGACAAACGACUGUUGUUAGUUUAUUUCACUAUGUAUCUCUACAGACUCAGCUUUGUAUUAACAAGCUUUUUCAUGAGAAGAACAAAUAUGCAUUUACAAAACAGCUUCCUUAUUGUUUUCAUAUUGUUAGAAACAUUGAAUACGUUCCUGCAA